CAGUAGCCACGGUAAUACGUAGGUGGCAAGCGUUGUCCGGAAUUAUUGGGCGUAAAGGGCUCGCAGGCGGUUUCUUAAGUCUGAUGUGAAAGCCCCCGGCUCAACCGGGGAGGGUCAUUGGAAACUGGGAAACUUGAGUGCAGAAGAGGAGAGUGGAAUUCCACGUGUAGCGGUGAAAUGCGUAGAGGUGUGGAGGAACACCAGUGGCGAAGGCGACUCUCUGGUCUGUAACUGACGCUGAGGAGCGAAAGCGUGGGGAGCGAACAGGAUUAGAUACCCCUGUAGUCCCUGUCUCUUAUAC
rnacentral:rRNA from 1 species